GAUGAACGCUGGCGGCGUGCCUAAUACAUGCAAGUCGAGCGAACAGAUGAGGAGCUUGCUCCUCUGACGUUAGCGGCGGACGGGUGAGUAACACGUGGAUAACCUACCUAUAAGACUGGGAUAACUUCGGGAAACCGGAGCUAAUACCGGAUAAUAUAUUGAACCGCAUGGUUCAAUAGUGAAAGACGGUUUUGCUGUCACUUAUAGAUGGAACCGCGCCGCAUUAGCUAGUUGGUAAGGUAACGGCUUACCAAGGCAACGAUGCGUAGCCGACCUGAGAGGGUGAUCGGCCACACUGGAACUGAGACACGGUCCAGACUCCUACGGGAGGCAGCAGUAGGGAAUCUUCCGCAAAGGGCGAAAGCCUGACGGAGCAACGCCGCGUGAGUGAUGAAGGUCUUCGGAUCGUAAAACUCUGUUAUUAGGGAAGAACAAAUGUGUAAGUAACUAUGCACGUCUUGACGGUACCUAAUCAGAAAGCCACGGCUAACUACGUG
rnacentral:rRNA from 1 species